UACGUAGGGCGCAAGCGUUGUCCGGAAUUAUUGGGCGUAAAGAGCUCGUAGGCGGUCUGUCGCGUCGGCUGUGCAAACCCGGGGCUCAACCCCGGGCCUGCAGUCGAUACGGGCGGACUUGAGUUCGGUAGGGGAGACUGGAAUUCCUGGUGUAGCGGUGGAAUGCGCAGAUAUCAGGAGGAACACCGGUGGCGAAGGCGGGUCUCUGGGCCGAUACUGACGCUGAGGAGCGAAAGCGUGGGGAGCAAACAGGAUUAGAUACCCUGGUAGUCCACGCCGUAAACGGUGGGCGCUAGGUGUGGGGUGUUAUUCACACAUUCCGUGCCGAAGCUAACGCAUUAAGCGCCCCGCCUGGGGAGUACGGCCGCAAGGCUAAA
rnacentral:rRNA from 1 species